GAUCCGUUAGUUUAGUGGUAGAACUACUGUUUGUGGGACGGUCGACACAGGUUCGAUUCCUGUACGGGUCA
rnacentral:tRNA from 6 species